rnacentral:rRNA from 1 species
GAUGAACGCUGGCGGCGUGCCUAACACAUGCAAGUCGAACGAGAACGGAAUAUAGCUUGCUAUAUUUGUCAGCUAAGUGGCGCACGGGUGAGUAAUGUAUAGAUAACCUGCCCUUAAGAAAGGAAUAACAGUUGGAAACGACUGCUAAUGCCCUAUAUGCCUUUAAUACAUAAGUAUGCAAGGGAAACGCUUUAGUGCUUAAGGAUGGGUCUGUAUGGUAUCAGCUUGUUGGUGAGGUAAUGGCUCACCAAGGCUAUGACGCCUAACUGGUUUGAGAGGAUGAUCAGUCACACUGGAACUGAGACACGGUCCAGACUCCUACGGGAGGCAGCAGUGGGGAAUAUUGCACAAUGGACGAAGGUCUGAUGCAGCAACGCCGCGUGGAGGAUGACACAUUUCGGUGCGUAAACUCCUUUUAUAUAGGAAGAUAAUGACGGUACUAUAUGAAUAAGCACCGGCUAACUCCGUGCCAGCCGCCGCCGUAAUAC